AAAAGGUUGGGGUUGAAAAUGUGAAGCUGAAGACGAAAGACGAUGAAAGAAACGGAGUUUGCUCAUCCUUUCACAGUUCCACUCUCCUGCUCAGGACUCAUCACUGCUCCAAUCCAACAAAUUUCAAUACACACACCUUCUGUCCAAACUGAAAUUCAAAGGAAAUUAUAGAUUUCUAUUUUUUGAAAAAAUAAAUAAUCACAGACCAGCUUGAAGAGGAGAAGAGAAAACUGCUCCCUCUAAGGCAGUUUUUGGUUCUACUAAAAUUGGGACAAGUAUGAAGAGCAUGCUAUAGCCUUCCUGGAGCAAAGGUUUCAUAUGCUACACGUAUGGAUGUUGAGGUGGUAGAUGUUGAAGGGAAUAAAGGAGACGAUCAUAUGAUGGUAAAUGCUGAUUCCAAUAAGUCUGAGAAACUUAAUGUAACUGAAGAUUCUUCAGAAGUAAUGGUUGGAAAUCAGGAUGAUGAUGGAAGUGCUUUACCACGUGUGGGUAUGGAGUUUGAAUCAGAGGAUGUUGCCAAGGCAUUCUAUGAUGCAUAUGCCAGGCGUAUGGGAUUUAGCUCUCAUGUUGGUCAAUUUAAUCGCGCUAAGCCUGAUGGGCCGAUUGUAACUUGGGAUUUUGCAUGUUCCCGAGAGGUGCUUAAAAGAAGGAAUUUUGAGUGCUGCAAUGCCAUGCUUAGGAUAGAGAGAAAGAAUUCAGACACUUGGGUUGUGACAAAAUUUGUAGAGGACCAUAACCAUUCUAUGGUGAUUCCUAGUAAGGUUCAUUACCUUCGACCUCGUAGGCAUUUUGCUGGUGCUACAAAGAAUGUGACUGAAACACUAGAUGCCACUAGUGAUGUUUAUGUUUCUAUUGAGGGGAAUCAUGUAUCUAAUGAACAAAAUCGUGUUAGGAAUGUAUCCCUUGGAGAACCUAAUCACCCAGUUAGGAAUGUUGUGCAUGCACCUAUGAAUUAUGUGAGUCCUCCUAGCAGAAAAAGGAACCUUGGAAGAGAUGCACAAAAUCUUUUGAACUAUUUCCAGAAAAUGCAGGCUGAGAACCCUGGCUUCUAUUAUGCAAUACAACUAGAUGAUGAUAAUCGCAUGACUAAUGUCUUCUGGACUGAUGCAAGAUCAAGGAUGGCUUAUAGUCACUUUGGCGAUGCUGUUGUUUUUGACACAAUGUAUAGACCAAAUCAAUAUCAGGUCCCAUUUGCUCCUUUCACAGGUGUUAAUCAUCAUGGUCAGAUGGUAUUAUUCGGCUGUGCAUUGCUUCUAGAUGAGUCUGAGUCUUCCUUUACUUGGCUAUUUAGGACAUGGCUAUCUGCAAUGAAUGACCGACCUCCUGUUUCUCUUACCACUGACCAAGAUAGAGCCAUACAAAUGGCAGUUGCUCAGGUGCUUCCAGAUACUCGCCAUUGUAUCUGCAAGUGGCACAUCUUGAGGGAAGGCCAAGAAAGGUUGUCUCACAUAUACCUUUCUCAUCCAUCCUUUUAUGGAGAGCUGUAUAGCUGCAUUAAUUUUUCUGAGACAAUUGAGGAUUUUGAAUCGUCAUGGGGCAGUCUUUUGGAUAAAUAUGAUCUCCAGAAAAAUGAGUGGCUUCAGGCUGUGUAUAAUGCUCGCAAACAGUGGGCACCAGUUUAUUUUCGUGGCACUUUCUUUGCUGCACUUUCUUCAAACCAAGGGGUCAGCUCUUUUUUUGAUGGGUAUGUAAAUCAACAAACCACAAUACCUCUGUUUUUUAAGCAGUAUGAAAGAGCUCUUGAGCAUUCUCUAGAAAAAGAAAUAGAAGCAGAUUAUGAUACAAUUUGCACCACUCCAGUGCUUAAGACGCCAUCACCAAUGGAACAACAGGCAGCAAACCUCUAUACCAAGAAAGUGUUUGCAAAGUUUCAGGAAGAACUAGUUGAAACUUUUGUAUAUACAGCAAAUAACAUAGAGGGUGAUGGGGUUGUGAGUAAAUAUAGGGUUGCAAAAUAUGAACAUGAUGACAAGGCAUACAUAGUGACAUUGAACAUUUCUGAGAUGAAGGCAAGUUGCAGUUGCCAGAUGUUUGAAUACUGUGGCAUUCUCUGUCGGCAUAUAUUAACUGUAUUCACUGUAACCAAUGUUCUUACCCUUCCAUCCCACUACAUAUUGAAAAGAUGGAAAAGGAGUGCCAAUUCUUGGGUUGGGUUAGAGGAACGAAGUGCAGAUCUCCAAGCUAUUGAAACCCUGACCUCACGCUUUAACAAUCUAUGUAUGGAAGCUAUUAAAUAUGCAGAAGAAGGGUCAAUUGCUGUUGAGACCUAUAAUUUGGCAAUCAGUGCUUUAAGAGAGGGUGUGAAAAAGAUUGCUGCUAUGAAGAAAAAUGUUGCUAAUGUUGCAUCUCCUAGCUCUCAGGGCAGUGGUAACAGUCUGGAAGAAACUAACAAGAAAAUCCCCUUUUCAGUUCCUGAAAUGGUUCCAUCAAUGUGGCACUGGCAGGAUGCUAUGCCACAUCAGUUUAAUCUUAAUGAUGUGGGAGUACCUGUUACUGAUUUGAACCAGCCCAGCAUGGCUCCUGUGUCUAUCCACCGUGAUGGUGGUCUUCCUGAUAACACGGUGGUUCUUACUUAUUUUAAGUCCAUGACUUGGGUAAUAGAGAAUAAGACUUCAACGCCAGCUGGAAAAGUAGCUGUCAUCAACUUGAAGCUGCAAGAUUAUGGCAAGAAUCCAUCAGGGGAAACAGAGGUGCAGUUUAGGCUAACAAGGGUCACACUGGAACCUAUGUUGAGAUCCAUGGCUCACAUAAGUCAGCAGCUUUCAACACCAGUCAAUCGAGUUGCUGUCAUUAAUCUGAAGCUCCAAGAUACCAAAAUAACAACUGGAGAAACAGAGGUGAAAUUCCAGGUUUCUAGAGAUACACUGGCUUCCAUGUUGAGAUCAAUGGCAUAUAUCCGUGAGCAAUUAUGACACCAGUUUUGCUGAGCACUUCAUUCUAAUGAUGAAUCAUGUAAGCAAAGGGUAUAGUGAGUGAGAAUUUCUUUUGGCAAGGUGAGCUUAAAUCGGCUUCACAAAGCUGGCAGCAUUAGAGGCACCAAGGGCGUAAUCCCUUUCAGUUGAUACACCAUUGUGUAUUAUACAAAUGUUACGUUGACAUAGUUUGGAUGUAGAUGUAGUUAGGUAUGGGAUUUCUAUUUUAUUGAGCGAACUUGGUUUAGCUGAGUCUAUUCUUAUCUCUAACUUCUAGAUAGUGCAAGAUUCGCUUUACCUAUGUGCUGGAAAAUCUAUUUGUACAUGUAAGUUUCCAACACAUAUUUACUGAUUGAGCAUUGCAUAUAUGUUGUAUUUAAACUUGGAACAUAGUGCCUCUUUCUAUGUUUUGAACUUUGGUGAUUCGUUAAGUUCUUUUUCUAAUUUUGUAUCGCACAAUCGUGCCUGCGAAAACAGAAACCUUUGAGACGUUUCUUUACCAUAUUUUAUUUUAUUGUAUUUUUUUUUAAAUUCUGC
rnacentral:misc_RNA from 1 species